rnacentral:rRNA from 1 species
UGAGCAACCUGCCCUUGACCCCGGAAUAACAGUUGGAAACAGCUGCUAAUACCGGAUACGACCUCUUCCGACAUCUGGAGAGGUGGAAAGCCCUGGCGGUCAAGGAUGGGCCCGCGGCCUAUCAGCUUGUUGGUGAGGUAACGGCUCACCAAGGCGACGACGGGUAGCUGGUCUGAGAGGAUGGCCAGCCACAUUGGGACUGAGACACGGCCCAGACCUCCGUACGGGAGGNAGCG